ACGGGGGGUUUAAGCGAGGAGGAGGCUACUUUAGUUAAUACCUAGAGAUAGUGGACGUUACUCGCAGAAUAAGCACCGGCUAACUCUGUGCCAGCAGCCGCGGUAAUACAGAGGGUGCAAGCGUUAAUCGGAUUUACUGGGCGUAAAGCGCGCGUAGGCGGCUGAAUAAGUCAAAUGUGNNAUUCCCCGAGGGAAAACUUGGGAAUUGCAUUCGAUACCUGUAGNAGU
rnacentral:rRNA from 1 species